UCAGGGCUUAGCGUUGGUCUGUCUACCCAGGCUGCAAGUGCGAUUCAGAAUCUACCCUGCAGGGAACCGGUGAAGAAACUGAGGCCCACAAGCACAGAGUUGGAGCGCCCCUUCCAAGGCACAGCUGAAUGUCCGCUGGAGUUGUGCCGUAUCCUUUUUUCCCCAGGCGCCACCCUAUCCCGAGACCUCAUGUACCUGCCCAUCUGGGCACCUGCUUUCCUGGAGUGAAUGCUUGCUAGGCAAGUAUUCCUAGGGCUGGGCAUGCAAUGAAAGGAAACUCAACGCUGCUGUCAUGAAUAUGUCAUCUUGUGGGGGAGGCAGACAUAAGUGACAUAGUUGCUCAAGUAAAUGGAAAUGUUGAACGUUAUCAAGUAAGGAGAAACUCAGAGUGCCGCGAGCAUGAGUAAGCAAAGGGACCUGCCCAGUCCCGGGGUCAGGAAAGGAAUGCUAGACAGCCAGAGCGAGCAGGAGUUACCUUGGAAAGGGAGUAGACCGUGGCAGCAGUCUCACCUAGGGAGAGAACUGCAAGCCCGCGGACCAGCAAGGGGAUGGCAUGGAGGCGAUGUCAGCCAGGAUCAGCAAGGCCAGCAGGCAUGGACCGGAAGAAGAAUGUGGAAUCACUGAAAGAUUUUAACCACAGCAGUGAUGUCUGAGUUUGCAGAAUGGAUGUGUCCAGAGGAGACAAACAGAUGCUCGGCCUGUCCUCAAGGGCUUCCAUCAGAAUUCAUCCUUUGACUUCGGGGAACUCUGUGUAUUUGACAUCUAGCGUCUCCCAUAUACCAGGAGGACUAUGUACAAUGUGUCACCUGAGAAUGUCACUGUGUUCGGGGAGAUCCUUGAUGUCUGAGGCCUAACAAAUGACUAUAAAGGUUUUAUACAUUGGCAUCUUUGUGUCUUCACUGAACUGCCAGUGUUAUUUUUUUGGUAUUGAGAAUUGAACUCAGGACCUUACAUUUGCCAGGCAGACACUUAUGCUGCUGAGCUAUAUCCCUGGCCCCUACUGCUCCCUAUUUGCGAUACCCCUCCCUAUUUGUCCCAGGCCCACUGAUGUGUAACUCCUUGCUUAUGCUACAUUUUUAUUAACUUAUGAAUCUAUUAAUUUUUUUAGCUUAUUUUAACUGUUACUGUGUGUGUGUGUGUGUGUGUGCGCGCGUGUGUGUGUGUGUGUGUGUGUGUGCAGUAUCGUCAAACCCAGAACAUGUCAAAGGUUGGGCAAGUGCUCUACCCCAGUAUCAUUCCACCAGCUCCUGGAUUAUUUCUAAAUUCAUUUUCUAGCUUUUUAACAUUUUAAAUUUUAUUUUAUUUUAUUUUAUUUUAUUUUAGCUUUUUGAGCCUCUUGUAUUCACUGUUUUUCUUCCAUUUAUACUUUAUUGAAAGUUAUUUUUGGGUUUGGGUUUUUUUCUUGUUGUUUUGUUUUUCUGAGACAAGGUCUCAUCACACAGUCGAGGUUGCCUCAAAUUUGCAAUCCUCCUGGCUCAGCUUCCCAAGCACUGGGACUCGGGGUGUGACACUAGCCCUGGUGAGCUAUGUAUUUUCCUCCUGAGUGCUGCUUUAGCUGUGCUCUUAGAGGCUUUGCAUGGUGUGUUUGUUAUUUCUGUUUCCUAGACAUUGCUGGUUCAGUUUGUGUCUUCCUUUUCCUCACACCCCCAGGCAGAAGGGCACUUUUCCUUUGUGUUCUGAAUGUUGUACAUGAUGAAGUUUAGUGCGUUAUUAUUAUAGAACAGUAUCUUUUUUUUUUUAUCGGUACCAGGGAUCGAACUCACAACUGCCUGCUUGCAAGGCAGGUGCUUAUGCUGCUGAACUAAAUCCCCAGCCCCUAUAGAACACUGUCAAUGUUAUUUUUAUUUUGGAAAUUUAAUGCAGUUUUGUUCGUGAACUCAUGUAAUCUUUUGUUUAUACAUGGGUACCUUCAUAUGUGUGUCCACAGUAUCCCAAAGCAUUUGAAAAGAUUCUGUUUCUGUUUCAAUACACAAAAUCUGAUCCAUCAAUAUUUACCUUUUUGAUACUAUUGUUUGGACUUCUAGAUCUUCAUUUACUUUUUUAAUCAGAAUUAUUUGCAUGUACUAAUUGAGCCAUUUCUUUCUUUUUUGUGGUAGUGGGGAUUGAACUCAGGACCUCGUGUAUGUUAGCUGUGGUAGUUACUUUUUUACUCAUUGCUGAGAAAGUACCUGAUGCCCAAAGUUAGGGAAGGAAAGGUUUAUUUCUUACAGCUUUUGGAGGUUUCAGUCCAUACUCAGUUGGCUCCAAGGCAGGGUGGCAUGGUGGGGCCGCAGUUCAAGGCAACUACAAAGGCAAGUCAGAAACCAGCAAGAGAGAGACACACUCUCUUCCGGCCAUUACAUCACAUCCUGGCUCCAUCCCUGGGCGGGUGAAAUAUUCACACCACCAAUCCGAGCGCUAGGCUUAAGCCAAUCACAAACGCUAUAUUUGGUCCAGUCCAUAAUUCAUGAGGCUUGGGGGCCACUGGCAUAAACCAUGACACUAGGCAAGCCUCUACCACUGAACUACACCCUUAGCGCAAUUGAGUCAUUUCUUCAUGACAUUUUCCUUCAUCCUCAUUUAUACCUAGACUGUAUCCUCCCUGCCAACCAUCUUUCUCAUCCGCAGUCUGCCCCUGUUCUCUUCCCUCUUCCUCGGUUACAUCCCGUUUCCUCUCAGGUUGGAGUUUGUUUUGUUUUGGUUCCCUGGGUUUCACAUAGGCGAGACAACACUCAGGAGUCAUCCUUCCGAGUCUGGCUUCCUUCAGUCACCACCACGAUCUCUGGUAGAUCCAUUGCCUACAGAUGGCUGGACUGCCCGCUUCCUUAUAGUUCAGUACUGCUCCACCAUGCGUGUGUACCCUCCGUGAUGGGCAUCUAGCAUGAUUUUCUAGUUGGACAACUUUGAAUGGAGCUUUAAUAAAUAGAUGAGUGCUGGUGUCUCUAUCAUGUAGUAACUUUGAUUGCUUCUGCUGUAUACUCAGGAGUCUUCAUAGAGUUUAGUGUUUUUGUUUGUGUUUUUGAUGUAUCAGGAUUGAACCCAGGACCUUAACCCUGAGUUCCAUCCUCCAUCCUUUUGGUUUUUAAAAUUCUGAGAUACACUGUUGUUAAAUUGCUAAAUUCCUAGGCUGGGCUCCAAUUUGAAAUCCUCCUGCCUCAGCCUUCCAGAGUGCUGGGAUUGCAGGUGUGCACCAUCAUACCACCAUCAUACCUAGCUUAUUUGUAAUUUCUGGAGGAACUUCCAUGUUGAUUUCCACAGUGGCCAUCAGCAGUGUGUAAGUUUCCUUUUUCUUCACAUCCUCACCAACUAUUUUUUCACUCAUUCAUUCAUUAGGAUUAAGCCCAGAGGUGCUCUAACACUAAGCUACAUCCCCAGCCCUUCCUAUAUUUUGUUUGAUACUAGCUCUUGCUAAAUUGCACAGGCUGGCCUUAAAGCUAACACUUCUCCUGCCUCAGCCUCCCAAGUAUGUGGGAUUACAGGUGUGUACCACCAUUCCCAGCAGCAUCUGCUAAAGUUUUUUGUUUCUCAAUAACAACCAGUCUCACUGGGAUGAGAUAGAAUCUGAGUGUGGUUGGUUUGCAUUUCUCUGAUGGCUAAUGAUGUUGAGGAUUUUUUUCAUAAUUAUUCUCCAUUUUUAUUUCUUUUGAGAAGUGUUUAUUUAGUUAAUUUGACAUUAUUGAUGGGACUGCUUAUUCUUUUGGUGUUGUUUUGAGUACUUUUUUUUUUUUUUUUUGUCUUUUUCAUUUUUAUCGGUACCGGGGAUCGAACUCACGACCACCUGCUUGCAAGGCAGGUGCUUAUGCCGCUGAGCUAAACCUCCAGCCUCUUGUUUUGAGUUCUUUAUAUAUUCUGUAUACUAAUUCUCUGACUCAUAGUAUAGUUUGCAAGUUUGUCAGCAUUGUUGAAUGCAAGACUCUAGAACCAAACUACUGCUCUCUUCCUCCUAAAGUGAAACAUUUUCCCGAUUUAAAAGCAUGUACUAAAAACAUUUAAUCAGUGCUGUUUUGACUUCUACUUCCAAACAAACUACUACUAUAGAGAGCCUUUUUCUUCCUUCUGCUGAAUCUCGAGAAGGCAAUUCCUGAUUCAUAAGACCAUGCACACUUUCAAACCUUUUUUCUGUUUUGCCAAAAUUACUCCCCAGAAAGCGUGCCCCUGAGUCCCCCGUGCUUACCUCUUACAGCUGAUGAUGCGGCCGCGGUGCCUACCUGCGCUCCCAUUCUUGAAUUCACAGACGCUCUGGAGCAGCUCCCACUUGUGGCUGGUGUCCUGGAGAAGCCCAGGCCCAGAAGCCCCAGCACUGACUCAUGCAGCCAGCGGUAACAGCAGCUCCUCCUGACUCACCCUCCAGCAACUCUGCGGCGUCCACACCCAGAAGGGCCAAUUUGACCAGGGCAAAUUCCUCUGGAAAUGGUUCCUGGAGGUGCCUAGCAGGUGGUGGAAACAUGAACCAUGGCCGCCUGCUUUCCUCUUUAUUUGCACCAGAGACAAGUGUUUUAAAUUUGUAAUGGUUGUGGCAGGGUGGUGCACACCUGUAAUUCCACCAACCUGGGAGGCUGAGGCAGGAGGAUUAUAAAUUUGAGCCCAGCCUGGGGAACUUAGUGACUUAACAAGACCCCCAUCUGAAAAUAAAAAAGGGUUGGGGAUAUGCUCAGUGGAAAGGCCCAGGGUUCAGUUGCCCCAAGUCAAACCAACAAAAAACAAAACCACAACAAAAACUCACUAGAUAGUAAGUAUGUAUCAAGGAGGGAAAAAAUUUAUUUUUCCUUCACACCCGAUGAAAUGUUCAAAAGUGACCCAGCGACCUGAAGACAGGGCUUUAUUCGGUUUUGAAAAAACUGAAAGUGAAUGUAUUACAAAUACUAAGUAGGGCGGGUUAUGGUGGCCCACACCUGUAAUCUCAGCCACCUCAGGAGGCCGAGACCAAGGCAGGAGGAUUGUGUGGAGUUCAAGACCAACCUGGAUUACCAAACCAACCUGAACUAUAUAGCAAAACCCCGUCUCAAAAGAAUAAAUAAAAACGGUAAAGCUAGACUCUCAGCUUCAAUCUCCAACUGACCUACAGUGAUUGUGGAAAUAUCUAAAUUCUCAGAAACCUGACUCCCAUACCACAGGACUUUCACAGGGACAGAUAAUAUGCAAAAACGUUUACUAAGCACUUAUGAUAAUUGCCUCAACUUAGCAUGGCAAGGCCACAGAGGUUGCAGCCCCCAAAGGCUUCCUACUGCAGAAAGUUACCCCAAUGCUGGGGCCGGAGCGCAGGUAGUAAGGGUUAGAGUCAGGCUGGCGUCUGUCUUACACAAGUCUGUCCAUUAAAGCAUUAUUUGUACUCAUAGAAGGCGACAGUUUCCAUAGGAGAAUAUCCCAGCCUGUCGAAGACCUAAGUGUGACUUUUCCUACUGAAUUAGACAAGACCCGAGGUAACCAUAAAAUUGGCGUGCUUUUUAAAAAAGCAGUCUGGCUGUCUUACUUUGCUGGAAGGAGGCUUGGUGUUCAGAUCAGAGAAAGCUAAACUCCUUUGUUGUUUUGGUGCUUUGAGCCAUAUCCGAAGACCUUCAGCCCAGAGCCCCUUAUUUUAAGCACAGCAUUGAGGAACCGAAGUGUUCACAGGAAGGAGAGGCAGGAGACCAGGUAACAGGCAGAGAGCUAAAGAAUCCGGUCAGAGGGGCCCUGCGGCAUCUAUACAGAUCUGAAGGGCUAUCUUGGAGAAGGAGGCUCAUUCUUUUUUUUUUUUUUUUUUCAGAGUAAGCAUAGGGCCAAAAUAUUAAUGCCCUGUGCGGCCAGAUUUAUCUCUUCCCAUCCCCAUUUAGAGGAGGAAAGGGGUAUUGGGCCUCAGUCCUUGCAUAUAGAAAGCACAUCCCCUGCCACUGAGGUACCCCCCCAGCCUUCAGAUUUCAUCUUUUAAACAGAAGAACUGCAAACAGUCACAGCUGACACAUACAAAAUACUCCCUUGCAUUGGACAGAGUGUCCUGUCAUUGGGACAAUUCAAGUAAAUGGCCAUCUUAAUCUCUAUACUAAAUUCAUGUUUGAACUAGACACAAGUAUUUUACUUUUUUGUUAUUUUUUUUGUUUUUGGUACUGGGGAUCAAACUCACGACUAUGCGCUUGCAAAGCAGGCACUUCGCCGCUCAGCUAAAUCCCCAGCCCUUUAUUUGUUUGUUUGUUUUUUUAAGAAAAUCCUAGCUGGUAGUGAUGGCACAUGCUUGUAGUCACAGAUACUCAGAAGGCUGAGACAUAAGUUCGUUUUUCAUUUUUGUUUCGGCACUGGGAAUCAAACUCAGGACCUUGUGCCUGCCAGGCAGGCACUUAUGCUACUGAGCUAAAUCCCCGGCCCAAGACACAAGUUCUUGAUCACAAGUUCAGAGGCAGCCUGGGCAACUUAGCAAGGCCUGACUCAAAGUAAAACAAAACAGGUUAGGGAUGUAGCUAAGUAGGAGAGCACUUGGUAGCACUGGUGAGAUUCUCAGUGCAGUUUGCAGUGGACAGAGGAAAGGAAGGCAGGAAGGAAGGAGGGAGGAGGGGAAAGAAAUAUGACCCAAUCACUUGUUCCUAGUAAACUUUGAAAAUGCUUAAACAAACUUAUUUCUAUUCAUUCCAGUGGUUUUGUAGAGUAAGACCAUGUGGUAGUUUUGUUUUCUGUUUUUGUUUUGUUCUAGGGAUUGAACUCAGGGCUACAUCCACAGCCCUUUUUAAAAUUUUUUUAUUUUAUAGAUACUGUAUCACUAAAUUGCUAAAUCGCCCUGGUUGAUACCUAUUUGGCAAUCCUCCUGCCUCAGCUUCCCAGAAUGCUGAAAUUACAGGCAUGUACCACCACGCACAGCUAGUAGCUAAUCUUAAUUCCAACAGGACUUCCAAAACCUCUUGCCUAGCUGGCUGCUGUUGACACCUCCUUGCCAAAGGCAUGGUGAAUGUCAAAAUGAUGAAAAUGCUUUAUAUUUAUGCUCUGCGUUUUUAAAUAUUCAGAUUUUAAUUUCUUUAGUUUACCGUAUAAAUUUACAUCUGUGUGCUCCCAGAUGACAUAUUUAUGUAUUUCAGACAUUAGUUUAGCUUCCGGAAGACUUGUGUAUCUUUAAGAUCUGUUUUCUCUGUGGUGCUGGGUCUGUACCCCAGGGCCUCGGCCUACUAGGUGAGGGCCAUGCCCUUUAGCCACAUGCCCAGCCCCUCUUUCUGUGAACUGGCAGCAGUGGCUGUUAUGAUGGCUGUCUUACAAUACCAAGUCACCGCUCGAGAGUGGACCAGGAAGGUUCGUCCUUUCUUGCACACCUCCCAUGCUGUAUUAAUUGAAAAGGAAAUUUUCUAUUUUAUGGGAUUAAUGAAAGAAGCUCCAUUUCUGGCCCCCAGUUUAGCUAAUGGGUGUGUAGUUCUGGGGUAGACAUUUGCCUAGCAGAUGUGAGACCGUGGUUUUGAUCCUUAGCAUUGACUGUAAAAAAACCAAAACCAUCAAAUAGACAAAAUCCCCCAGGAUGCUCACUUAAAUUUAAACAAUAAAUAACUUUGUUAAUGUAAGUAUAAUCCCAUGAGUAUUUCGUCUGGCAACCCUACUGUCAUGGGAUGGGGUUUGAGGAGGUCCCCCAAGGAGGAGAUGGAGACCUCAACUCAGCUGUUAGAGCAGAUUCUUGAUACAUCUUCUUUUUUUUAAAUUUUAUUUUGAAAGUAGUAAAAAUACAACAGAACAAGACAGAACAAAGCCAACCGAGACAAUGCAGUGAAAUUGGUACAGAACUUCACAGCAGGAUACUGGGAUGGUAGUAAUAGGUACUAUGGUAUAUCUCGUUAUCUUCACAAUAGUUGUCCAGUCAAUUAGGUAUAGUGAAAUCAAACCAAAAACAGACCAUUAUAAAACCAAUUGAGAGUAUUGAAUAAAGCAAAAGAAACAUAACAAAACAAAACAGUGAAAACAAUCUUUGCCUUCAAACAGAAGAUAGAAGGAAAUCCCCCAUAUUUGUUACAUUGUAUAUGGUCAUCCACCCAAGAGAUGCUGAGACAUCUAUCCCCAGUAGCUAUGGGGGGAAAUGUUGAUUGUCAGCCCUCACACUGUAGGCUCACAAGAGCCCUGGUUCUCCUCCUGGCCCAGUCCGGGGCGUUUAACAAGAGGGCGGGAGAAUGAGCUGCCUCAGUCCCACCAAGGCCAGCCGGAUCUUGGGAUGCCUGGUUCUCCUUGAUUUAUCUUCUUAGAAAAGCAUUUCUGGAUGUGUCAGUGUGACCCAGGCAGGUGUGUAACAAAGAGUUUGAGAGGAAGAGAAAACACAGAAGGGACUUGAGUUUAAGGAGCAGAAGGGGCACCGCUCUAAUGGACAGGACCAGACUGGCCCUUUGACAAAAGGGAGAAAGAGAAGGGCAUGAGGCAGUUGGGGUGCACAGGGUCUGGCUGGCUGUGAUCUCAUUUUCCGUUCACACGGUGGCUGCCUGUCACUUAAUCUGGCCUCCGCGAGAUGACGGUCUCUGCUGGGGACAGCCUCAGCUUUGUGGCUGCUCUGCUAGAAUUCAAGGUGACCAUGCAUGGGCUUAGGUAAUGACUGCAGACACUGGGCCUUCAUCGGUAGUUGAGUGUCCCUGAAAAUCUCUUAUCUCCGUGUCCUUGGUCUCAAAGGGGAGGGAUGAGCUAGUGGUGUCAGUGUAGGGUUAACUGCCCUCUUACAGCCAUCUUUUAGACAGACAAUGUGUAAAGGACUAUCAUGCUUUUAUACAGAGCUAGUAAAUAAAUAAACAAACAAAUAAAAUAUACAGAGCGAAUGUAGAAUCUGACCCAGGGUUUUAAGGUAAUGGAGAAGACAGAUGCAAAAGAAAGUCAAGCUUUGCUCUGCAUUUAGAUAUUUACUGGGUGCUUGUAGGCCCAAAAAGAAUUAUUGUUUUUUAGUAAAAAAACACUUGUAAGCCUCUGACUGCCUCAGAAGAAAACACAAAUCAUGCUUUUUUUUUUUUUUUCUUUUGUCUUAUUGAGACAGGGUCUCACACGGUUCAGGCUGGUCUUGGGCUCACUUUGUAGCCCAGGCUGGUCUCGAACUCACAAAGACCCACCUGCCUCAGCCUCCUGAAUGCUAGGAUUACAGGAGUGUGCCGUCACGCUGGGCUAUAAAUCAUGUCUUUAAUGAAUAACUGGUUAAAGGCCCAGAGUUUGUCUUCUGUGCCUGGUUUCUCUAUCUGUGCCACUGCAACAUAUCAAGAUUUAAAUCACUAAAAGAAAGAAAACAAGCAGAAAGAGACAUAUAGAUAGACAGAGGUCCACAGAAUAGAAACAAAUCUGAGAUGUAAUUAAUACAUGGCAAACAUUUUUUGUUGUUUUUGGUUUUUGAGAGAGGCUGGCCUUGAACUCACUGUAAUCCUCAUGCCUCAUGCCUCAGGCCUCAUGCCUGAAUGCUGAGAUUAUAGGAGUUUGCUACCCGGACCUUGCUAAAGUAUUUUCUAUUAAUUUUUUGUUUAAAAAGCUUUUUUUUGUCGUGGGCAUCAAAUCCCAGGCCUCAUGCACUAGCGCUAAAGUGUGUGCCCUAGCACUGAACUGCACCCUCUGGCCCAUGGAUGUGUUUUGUCACUCUUGGGUCCUGACAAAGGCAGCACAAGAGACAAAUGACUUGGGAUCUCCCUUGUCAGCAAAUGGCUUCAAAUUUCCACUUAUUCCCCAUCUUUUCCUGCCCUGCACAAUGCCUGAUAUACAGAUCCAAGUUCCCCAGAGAGUAAAUUCCAGGAGUCCUGCAGGAACCCACACCCACCCUCGACCCGCAGCUGGCAGCUAGCUGGUCCUUGCAGGCUCCAGCUUCCAGUUCACCUGCUCUCUGGCAAUUUAGCCCCGCCCCAUCCCCUCAGGCCCCGCCCCAGGCAAUGCCCUAACUCUAAGGCACCACCCAGCGGGCCCCGCUCCUAUUCCCUCAGACCCCGCCCCUCAGACGAUUCCCACUCAGGCACCAGCAGCAGCCCCGCCCCCACUCGGAAGCCCCGCCCCGCGCCCCGCCCCCGCAGGCCCAGGCGCAGGCUUCCUCCUCCCUGUCUGACUCACCCCGCUCCUUCCUGCCUUUCACCUCUCUAAACCCUUGACAUCCUUCAUCUGCUGCUGCCUCUCCUGCUCUCAGAUACCUUGUCGCUCCUGCCUCUUGUUACUCCUUUAGAGUGUCGUUUUAGCGGGAUUUUGGAAGGAAGAGUUUGUUUAGUUUUGAUAGCCACAGGUUAGCAGGUUGGAGAGGGGGAGGGCACCCUGCUAGCAGGCCGGAGCGUGCUUCCCCUGGCUGGACAGAUGACAGGGCCACUUUUUAGGACUCUGUUAUGGAUUAAGAACUGGUAGUCAACUUAACGCCAGCUGGAUUUCUUCAGCAUGGCACUGAGCAUAGAUGCUGCUGCACCUGAGGAAAGUUGCCAGCAUAAAUAGUGAGAUGGAGGAGAGCGUUAAUGCGUUGUUGCAUUGAGGCAUUGUGGGUUCUCCUAUGUGUUGCUGUUUGAACGUUUGGUUCUCCUGGAGAAGCUCAGGUCCUCACAUCAAGCAUUGCUUCCUGGCUCCAGAGGGAAAGACGUGUGCUGCUUGGUCUCCAGGAUGAAUUCCUCACACUGGCUUCCUAGCAUGUACCCGACUAUGCUUGUCGUUGGAGGAGCUUGAGGCCUCCAUGUCGCUGAGGAUGGCUGUGUUGCCUUCAGGACAGCCGUGGUCUUUGUUGUGAGUGUGACUUCUCGACUCCAGCAUAGAACCCUCAUCCCACCACCACAGCUCCUUCACCCCGCUGGCAUGGAUUUUCUGGCUUCCACUGCUGACCUUUGGACCUUUCCGACAUGGAUCCGUAAAAGAGACUGGUGUGAGUCCUUUAUUUGGGCUCUGAACCUCCAGAUGGACUCGUGGGAGGCAUUGUCAUGAGCUCUCGGUUUUCAUCUGGACUCGUGGGACAUUGCUGUGGGAUUUAGGCUCUUGACUAAAUAUUCUAUGUCUUUGGUGUUGCGGAUAGAUUUCCUGCAUUUUCUUGUGUUAACUCAUGGUGACCAUUAUAAACAUAAUAUUAUAAAUUCCAUGUCCUGAUUCUAAUUGUUCUCUGUGCACAACCCCUGACUACAACAGACUCUAACCCUGGGCCCCUCCCUCGGAGACCCUGUCUCAGGUAGCCUGCAGAGGAAGCAGGAGUCUGCUCCGGGACUGUCCGGUCUCAGGCAUGGGCUGUGAUCCGAAAGCGGGGAGCAGAUGAGAGAACAGCAGUCGUGGUGUGAGGGCCAGAGUGGGGGUCCCGGAGGAGGGAAGUAAGAGGGAAACCAUCAAGCCAGCCGAGGAGCUGCUUGGACAGUGGUGUCCUUCCUGCAAGAGAACACGGCAGAGAAUGAAGCUGGGGGCCAGGGAUUGGGCGAUGAUGAAUCUAGAAGCCUCUGGCCCCAGACUGCAUGGAGCUGAGGAAAGAUGAGCGGGGUUCAGGUGGCUGGGCCCCACAUAGAUGAGCACACGGUGAACUCUGGACACACACGGCUCCCUUCGGAGAGAGGCUGCAAGGCUUGGGUCCAGAGAGCAGGCUUUGCAGUCUGGCUGCGCUGUGUGGACAUCCAGCCUGGUCCAUGCCACUCUGGCCAGACCACCUGCGCCUCCGUUCUGCAAACAGCUGGCUCGGUGUGGCCCUUGUGGUGACCUGACAAGGUGCUGCACACAGGGGACUGGCGCUGUGCCCGUGCAUGACACCCCCUGGAGGGCAGCACUAGAAGCAGUUCUGAAAUCUACCAAGGCCCAGCAGAAGCCAGGGAGCCCCGCUUCACUCGGCAUUGGGAGAUGGAAGGUUCAGGAAGGUGCAGACCCUUUCAUUCGUUGCUACCUGUUCCGUGUGGCUCUCUGGGUGUGUGCUCGGUGACGCCUUUUUGCCUGUGAUUUCUAGGACUUGUAGAGAAAUGACAGUCCCUUGCUGCUGCCUUUAAUUGGUGAGGAGCACAGAGCCCCGAGAUUAUAAUUAUGACAUCGUAAAUGUCAAGCUCUUCAAAAGUCUGCCGUGCCCUUGCUGUCACCCUGAACGGCUCCAGGAACCGAAACCUUGCAGCCCCCUCCUCUUUCUCCCCGAGCGUGCCCCGGGUGUCUCAGCCAGGCUUCAUCUGGGAAAUCUGAGUGACAGUGACGUGCAGGCAGCUGGAAGACGCGCAGUAAACCGAGGACCCUGUGAUGAGCUCAGAAGAGGUGACACCAGCCACAGAGCAGCUUCCUGGGGAUGCUUGUAUUUGCCGAACAUGCAAAAAAUGGGCAAAAAGGAAAUCCUUGCCGCUCCUCAAAGGUAUGCGUUCCUCAGUUCCACAGCCUCUCACCUGUCACCUGAAACUGCUGUUGUUUAUUUUCCAUACUGAGAUCCUGGCUCCCUGGCCAAAGUCACCUGAAAGGGGACAGCACCAGAGUGCUCCGCUUCCUGCAGCCAAGACUGCACUUAAGGACACGAAGCCACGAACCGACUGAGCUCGUGAACCAGGUUGUCCAGUCCGUGCUGGCCCUAUACUCACCUGCCAGCUGUGUGGCUUCAGGCAGAUUCUCUCCAAGACUGUCUGAGUUCUCUCUCUCUCUCUUCUGGGACAGGAUCUUGCUAUGUGGUUCAGGCUGGCCUAGAACUCACUAUGUAAUCUAGGUUGACCUCAGACUCACAAUGAACCUCCUGCCUCAGCCUCCCAAGUGCUGGGAUUAUAGGUGUGCAGCACCACGCCUGGCUGGGACUCAGUUUUCUUACCGGUAAAUUGGGGAUAAUAACGGAAGUUACCUCCCUGGAUUGGGGUGAAGAAUAAGAAAUAUAACAUAUGUAAGGCAGAAACAUCAGGCACAUACGGAACUCAACAAUAGGUAUCAAUAGAGACCCUCUGCAUGUCAGGAGCAUACCAGGUGUGGUCAGGCUGUGUCCAGCUGCCCAGCAUAGCAGCCUCUAUCCUGAGCACGUGGUUUGACCUGCCCUGUGGUUGCUUAGCAACCCCAUACUUGCCCUCAGGGUGGGAGCCUUGUGUGGGUCCUGGGGCAGCCUUCCCUGGCCAGUGGGGCUUUCACCUGAGGUCUCAGGUGUUCAUUUAAGAGUUGCAGGCGGUCACCUGCCCACCCAGGGGGCCCCGGUGCCUGGUGGGAGGCGCCCAUCUCGCCUGCCAGCUGGGCAUCCAGCAUGAAUUGCUGACUCAUGGGCACGGUAAGGCCCGGGCUCUUGGUACAUUCCCUCAUCUCCAGCUGUCAGCCAGAGCAUAAUUGUAGCUGUCACCUUGGCAGUGAGACACAACUGCCUCUGCUCCACUACGGCUUGAGAACUGGGGAGGUGGGAGGGGUCAACAGCUCCUCUGUGGAGAGGACCAGUCUGGAACAUGGUCUGCGUGAUGUGCGUUCACCCGGGGGCCCUGAGAGCACCAGGACCGGACCCUAGCACAGGCGCUGCCAGCGCGUGUGCCUACAGCAAAGCCAACCCAGUGAUUCUGUUAAUAGGAGAGGCUGGUGGCUGGGGAUUUAGCUCAGCGGCAUAAGCGCCCUGCCUGGCAAGUUUAAGGUUGUGAGUUCGAUCCUUGAUACCAAAAAAGUAAGAGAGGCUGGCACUGAGACCAGGCAUUGUUGGCAGCUGUGAGAAAUCAGAAACCAGCCUUAGAUAAUGCACAGGCUGGGCUUCAGGAUGGACGAGGUGAGAGACAGCCAGGGCCAAGCUGAAAAGCCGGGAAGCUGGAAGACCGGGCCGUGAAGCGUGGACUGCAUGCAGGAAGUCACCGGGAGCCCUUGACGGCCAGCAGGCAAGAGUGAUGUGCUCAGGUGACAUGGUGGAGGUCAGGGCUCAGUCUUGGAGCGGAAUUUGUGAAUGAAGCAGCCACAUGCCACGUGUGCAAAAGUAGGGGGCCACAGACACUCAGGCCAACGAUGGGGGAGGCUCUAGGGGGUGAAAGCGGGUCCCCCUGCAGGUAGGAGUAGCCUAUCUCCCCAGUACUCCCCACUAAGAAACAGCAGAGAAGGGCUGGGAAUUUAGCUCAGUGGCACAAGCGCCUGCCUGGCAAGCGCCAGAUCCUGAGUUCAGUUCCUGGUACCAGAAAAAAAGAAAAAAGCAGAGAAACAGCCGAGCUUGCUUGCUGGAGGAAUUCUUAGAAGAAAGGUUCUACUUGAGCACACGGAAAUCAGCGCCCUGUCACAGGGUGGUUAAGGAAGAGAAGAUGGUGAGGUGUGGAGAGCCAUUACCAGUGGACAGUCCACCUGAGAGUGCAGAUGCUGGCGCAUAUCUGGACCAUCAUAUCAGUCAGGGAGAAGGCAUGAUUCAGUCGACAAACAUUGUGCACAUCCUUGGAAGCACACUGUUGUGCAAGAAGUGGUUUGGUAGGGGUUUUCCCUUCAGCUGUAAGCAUCAUCGAGGGCAGGACGGCUUUCAGGCUGCCAGGGAGGAGAGGCGGGAGGAGCCAGGCUCCUGCUCUGGCACCGUCUUUUGGGAGCCGGGCUGGCAGGGGCAGGCACCGAGCAGUGAGGAAGUCCUGUCACCUGUGCAGCUCUCGAGGCGAGCUGAGUGUCUCGGGUGCCCAGAAUCCUCUGCCUGUGGGUGGGAACGCGAACCUCUUCCCUGAGGCAGGCAGCAGGUUACAAGCAUGUCACAGCCCGGUCAUAACCACUUCUGGCUGCCCAUGGCUGGUUUGGAGCCAGGUGCCAAGAGGCUGUCUUAGUAUUUGGUUUGUGUUUCCCUUUACAGUUUAUAAAAUGCAGUGAUAGCACGUGGCCCCGCUUGGUGCCCCCGCCUGGGAUCCGAGCAGCCUUGCUUUGCUUUCUUUUCUCACUCUGUCUUUUUCUCUCUCUUCUUUCUUUCUUGUGCCAGAGAUUGAACCGGGGCCUUGUGCACGCUUAUCAUGUGCUCAGCCAUCGAGCUGCCCGUCCAUGUCAAGUUAUCUGUUGUUUUGUUUUGGUUUUUGGUAUUUUUUGUUGUUUGUGAGGCAGGGUCUUGUUAUAUAUUCAAGUUGGCCUCAAGCUCACUACAUAGACCAGCGCAGCCUCCAACUUGAGACAGUCCUCCUGCCUCAGCCUCCUGAAUGCUGCGAUUAGAGGCAUGCACCACCGUGCCCAGCUCCCGUGUCAAGUUUUUAUAAUUGAACUGCUGUCUCUAGGAAAUUGAGCCAUGGUCUAGCCAAAGGUAGUGAAAGGCAGAGAUAACCCAGAAUGGUAAGGUAUUCGGGAUGCCCACUACAUUUCAACAUCGCCCACGAUUUCUCUCUAACUGGGACUUGGCUUCCUGCCGCCACGCCUCCCAGGCUCCCGCUCUGCCCUUCCCCGCUGUAUCACAGACUGGUCAGCCUGCAUUUUAAAUCCUGCCCAGAGUCACUUCGCAGUGGUCUCCAUCACCUCUGUCCUGUUUGCACCUGCUGACCCCAUCCUCGAGGGCCCUGGUGGUGGCCCCAGGCUGAAAACCUAAGCCAAGAGAACCAACUCAUCCCCAAGGCGGGGCCCAGCCAGUGCUCUGAGGUCUUGGCUUCCUUGGCUUCCUGCUCCUACGGUGGGGAACGCGGGGGUUGAGUCAGGCUGACUCACGAUGGGUCAUGAACCUCCAGCCUUGUAAAGGAUGACCAGGGGCUGUGCGGAAAAGGAUCAGAUGAGAAGCGCAAAGAGAGAGCCCUGUGUGUCCAGAGAGAGAGAGAGAGAGAGAGAGAGACAGAGAGACAGAGACAGAGAGAGAGAGAGACAGAGAGACAGAGAAACAGACAGAGACAGAGAGACAGACAGACAGAGAGACAGAGACAGAGAGACAGCGACACAGAGACACAGAGACAGAGACAGACAGAGACAGAGAGACAGCUAUCCAGUGAGCCUCCAGCUCCUCGGUGACUUCCUGCUUUCAGGGGCCCCCUCUGGCUGCAGCCAGCUUGGCUAGCUGGCUACCUAAGAGAGCACCACUGACAAAUGACCUAAGUCCUGAGGGGUGCGGCUCCCCUAUCCCCAGGCAUCCUGAGUCUCCUGCAGAUCCCGGCUGGGCACCUAGGAUCGGUGUGGUCCCACUGGGCCGGGAUCUGGAGGGCAGGGAGCAAGGGGCUCUGAGAACAGAAGACAGCAAGCCCAACUCGCUCUGUGCCGCUGGACUGUCAGUGUGCUUAAACAGGUGUUCUCGGGAGAGCACUGGCCUAGCGUGUGCGGGGCCCUAGCUUUGACCUCCAGCACUACAAAAAGAAAAGCUAUAUAAAGAUAGAGUAGGGUGAAGAGGGAAAAGAAGAUUAAAAAAAAAAAAAAGGGAGAAAUUGUGUCUUUCUGGUUGCUUCCCAGACCCCUGUGUGGUCCUUGAGAGCCGUCAGUCAUGGGGUCGCCUGCAGCUCCGGCGGGGCAGGAGGGCCCAGCACUCAACACAAAGUGCUCUGAGAGAAGAGGUGUCGUGCAGGUAGCCAGGCAUGAUUAACUAAUGGGCAGGCUCUCGGGCAGAGGAUCACAUUUCACAGACACAUACUCACAUAUAAUGUGGCUCUCACAAGCAGGAGCAGGAAAGGUUCAUUCAGCAUAAGGCAGGUUGGCAUAAGGCAAGCAGACUGAAAUAAAGGCUGCGGGUACCUUCUCUGCCCUCUUCACUUCCGCAGUGAGCAUGCAUUGAGCACCUACUGGAUGCCGAGCCUUGUACCAGCCGCUGAGGUGCCAGGAAAGCCAUAGCGAGCUGCUCCUGUCUGUGGUGCUGGAGGCAGAGGCUCGAGAGCUCUGGCGAGGGUGGUGGCCAGCUCAGGGGAGGAAAGCAGAGGGUAUUCUAGGCAGGAGGCCAUGGAGGUCCCAGCCAUAGCUCCCGAGUGGGCCCCAGGCCAGUGGAGAGGUACAAAGGGAAGCCCAGUGUUUCUGGAAAGUCGAGGAGCUGCUGGCUGAAGGGGGAAUUUGGGUCUUGGGAACCUCAGAGGGAAGUCCAGGCUUUGCUUGCAGAUGAUGGGGUUUGACCACGGGGUGCUGAGAUCAGACCUAUGUUCCAGAAUAAUCGCUGUGGCCACUGCUGGAUGCUCCAGCAACUACAGGCAGGAAAAGCCUCCAGGGGCUAUGACAGGCACAAGUGCAAGGAGUGGAGGAGAGGAGUAGAGGGGACUGGUUUAGGGUAUGGGAGCCAGGCAUGGUGAUGCACACCUGUAUUCCCAGCACUCGGGAGGCUGAGGCAGGAGGAGCACUAUGAAUGUGAGCCCAGCCUGGGCUACGAAGAGAGUUCAAAGCUAGCUUGAACUACACAGCAAAGUACUGUCUCAAAAGAAAAGAAAGAGAGAAAGGAAAAGAAGGAAAGAAAGGUUUUGUAGCUGGAUAUGGUGAUCCACAGACGUAAUCCCAGUGCUCUGGAAGGCUGAGACAGGAAGAGGACAAGUUUGGACCCAGCCUGGGCAAUUUAAUGAUUUAAGGAGACUCUGUCUCAAAAUAGAAAAUUGAAAGGGUCGGGGACAUAGCUCAGUGUGAAGGCCCUGGAUACAACCCCAGCACUACCACCAGCAAGAACAAAAGCAAAACAUUUGGGCCAGAAUUUAACCUGAGGGGCUGGACGAGACUGCCCUCGAGUCUGUGGUCGGAUGACUGCUAGGUGAGACUGUCACGUCACAGGAGGGAGAGGCCGCAGGGCAGGGGUGCUGGGUGGCGGCACCUGCGGUUUGAGCCCUGUCCUGGGUGGAGGAGCUGGGGGAUCCUGGGAGAAGCAUCCCACAGGAGCCAGACUGGGGGCUGGACACAGUGCGGGGAGUGGUGUGGGGAGGGAGAGGGGAAGUGCAGGGACGUCCUGCCCUUUUGCCCCCAGAUUCUCAGGUGCUGAGAGUGACGCAGGGGCAGGGGUAGAGGGUACUGGGAAACUCGUCGUGGGAAAUAAGCCGUGGACCCCCGCCUGGCACUACUGAGACCUUUGUGGGACAUGGUGGCGCACGCUUGGAAUCUCAUCACUCAGGAGGCUGAGGCAGGAGGAUUGCUGUGAGCUCAAGGCCAGCCUGAACUGCAUAGAGAGACCUUGUCUCAAAAAGACAGAAGAAGGAGGAGGAGGAGCAGGAGGAGAAGGAGGAGGAAGAGGAGGAGAAGAAGAAGAAGAAGAGGAAGAGGAAGAAGAGGAAGAGGAAGAGGAAGAAGAGGAGGAGGAGAAAGGAAAGAAAGGUCUUUGGAGGGGGGAUCUCAGAGGGUGGUAUCUUCGGGUUGAGAUGUACGCCCCUGAAAAGCCAGGCCUGCCAGCCACUUGGUCUCUUCCCUCCAGGUGAGAACACCAGGAGGCAUUUGCAGUCUGCCCCCCAGAAGAGGGGACCCCUGAGCCUGAGCAGGUGGGUAUUUUGAUCCCAGACAUCGUGAUCCCAGAACCAAAGGAAACAAAUUCCUGCGGGUGAUAAGCCACCCACUCUCAGCCAGCCUUGGACACCAAAAGUUUGAGACGGCAGAGCCAUGCGAUAGGUCCUGGGUCCCUGAAUCACCCCUUGAGGGACAGAUGCCCCACUCAGGAGCACUCAUCUGGGUUUGGGUUUCUUGCACUCAACACAUGAACUAGACUGAGCCGCUGUGCA